UACGAAGGGGGCUAGCGUUGUUCGGAAUUACUGGGCGUAAAGCGCGCGCAGGCGGCUUUUCAAGUCAGUGGUGAAAGCCCGGAGCUCAACUCCGGAACUGCCAUUGAAACUGUAAAACUUGAGGAUGAGAGAGGUGAGUGGAAUUCCCAGUGUAGAGGUGAAAUUCGUAGAUAUUGGGAAGAACACCGGUGGCGAAGGCGGCUCACUGGCUCAUAUCUGACGCUCAGGCGCGACAGCGUGGGGAUCAAACAGG
rnacentral:rRNA from 1 species